rnacentral:tRNA from 1 species
UCCCCGGAAGUCCAGUGGUUAGGACUACAGGCUUUCACUGCCAAGGACACAGGUUCAAUCCCUGAUUGGGGAA